rnacentral:rRNA from 1 species
UGGGGAAUAUUGGACAAUGGGCGAAAGCCUGAUCCAGCCAUGCCGCGUGUGUGAAGAAGGUCUUCGGAUUGUAAAGCACUUUAAGUUGGGAGGAAGGGCAUUAACCUAAUACGUUAGUGUUUUGACGUUACCGACAGAAUAAGCACCGGCUAACUCUGUGCCAGCAGCCGCGGUAAUACAGAGGGUGCAAGCGUUAAUCGGAAUUACUGGGCGUAAAGCGCGCGUAGGUGGAUUGUUAAGUUGGAUGUGAAAGCCCCGGGCUCAACCUGGGAACUGCAUCCAAAACUGGCAAGCUAGAGUACGGUAGAGGGUGGUGGAAUUUCCUGUGUAGCGGUGAAAUGCGUAGAUAUAGGAAGGAACACCAGUGGCGAAGGCGACCACCUGGACUGAUACUGACACUGAGGUGCGAAAGCGUGGGGAGCAAACA